GUGGCAUCUUCGAAGAUCCGUGCGCAGUUUUUCUUUCAGUGGUGCAUGGAUUCAAAGCGAUGCCCAAAUUGAAGAUAAAUUCACAGCUUCUUGCUGUGUGUUUCCCUCGUUUCUGUGGAUUUUCCUCUGUUGAAUGCUAAAAAACAUCAUCACGAAUUUUCACGAAUGGUUUUGGAUGCAUAAAUAGCGUCCUUUACCCAGGAAACUGGGGCACAUCU
rnacentral:snoRNA from 1 species